GCGUUCAUAGCUCAGUUGGUUAGAGCACCACCUUGACACUUCGGCGUUGUAAGGUUAAUUGGUUCGAGUCCAAUUGAACGCACCA
rnacentral:tRNA from 1 species